rnacentral:tRNA from 1 species
AGAAAGUUAGUCUAACUAAGACAGCUGAUUUCGGCUCAGCAGAUUAUAGUAAAUACUAUAACUUUCUU